GAUGAACGCUGGCGGCGUGCCUAAUACAUACAAGUCGAACGGAGUGCAGCGAUGCAUUCAGUGGCGAACGGGUGAGUAACGCGUUGGUAACCUGCCCUGGAGAGAGGGAUAACAGGCCGAAAGCGUGCUAAUACCGCAUGAUCAGUGGAGGAAUAGCAGCUUCACUGCAAAGGGAGUAAUCCGCUCUGGGAGGGGCCGCGACCCAUCAGCUAGUUGGUAAGGUAACGGCCUACCAAGGCGAUGACGGGUAGGGGACCUGAGAGGGUGGCCCCCCACAAUGGAACUGAAACACGGUCCAUACACCUACGGGUGGCAGCAGUAGGGAAUAUUGCAUAAUGGGCGAAAGUCUGAUGCAGCUACGCCGCGUGUGCGAUGAAGGCCUUCGGGUUGUAAAGCACUUUUGACCGGGAAGAGGAAGGACGGUACCGGUGGAAUAAGCCUCGGCUAACUACGUGCCAGCAGCCGCGGUAAAACGUAGGAGGCGAGCGUUAUCCGGAUUUACUGGGUGUAAAGCGCGUGCAGGCGGUCAGCUAAGUUGGGUGUGAAAGCUCCUGGCUCAACUAGGAGAGGUCGCUCAAGACUGGCGGACUGGAGAGCAGUAAGGGAAGGUGGAAUUCCGGGUGUAGUGGUGAAAUGCGUAGAUAUCCGGAGGAACACCAGUGGCGAAAGCGGCCUUCUGGACUGUAUCUGACGCUCAGACGCGAAAGCUAGGGGAGCAAACGGGAUUAGAGACCCCGGUAGUCCUAGCUGUAAACGAUGUGAACUUGGCGCUGGAUGGGUAAAACCGAUCAGUGCCGGAGCAAACGCGAUAAGUUCACCACCUGAGGACUACGGCCGCAAGGUUAAAACUCAAAGGAAUUGACGGGGGCCCGCACAAGCAGCGGAGCGUGUGGUUUAAUUCGAUGCUACACGAAGAACCUUACCAGGGUUUGACAUGUUUGUGGUAGCGAAGUGAAAGCGGAGCGACUUCGGGGAGCAAACACAGGUGCUGCAUGGCUGUCGUCAGCUCGUGUCGUGAGAUGUUCGGUUAAGUCCGCUAACGAGCGCAACCCUCUCUGCGUGAUUACAAGUGUCACGCGGGACUGCCAGUCUUAAGCUGGAGGAAGGUGGGGAUGACGUCAAGUCAGCAUGGCCUUUAUAUCCUGGGCUACACACACGCUACAAUGGCCGGUACAAUGGGUCGCGAAGUCGCGAGGCGAANCCAAUCCACAAAGCCGGUCUCGGUUCAGAUUGCAGGCUGCAACCCGCCUGCAUGAAGACGGAGUUGCUAGUAACCGCAGGUCAGCUAUACUGCGGUGAAUACGUUCCCGGGCCUUGUACACACCGCCCGUCACGUCAUGGGAGCUGGUAACACCUGAAAGCCGGUAUUCUAACCGCAAGGAGGGAACCGUCGAGGGUGGGGCUGGUGACUGGGACG
rnacentral:rRNA from 1 species